CCCUUAGAUGUCCUGGGCCGCACGCGCGCUACACUGAGUGUCUGAGAUACGAGUCUGCCUGGUCCGGCAAGGUCUAGGUAAUCGCUAAAAGACACAUCAUGCUUGGGAUAGAUUAUUGCAAAUAUUGAUCUUGAACGAGGAAUUCCUAGUAAGCGCAAGUCAACAGCUUGCGUUGAUUACGUCCCUGCCCUUUGUACACACCGCCCGUCGCUACUACUGAUUGGAUGUUUAAGCGAGGUUCUCGAACUGCUAGCGACUUAGCUUCGGUGAGGUCGCAGUGUGGGAAGUGAACCUAGCUUUGGUGUCUAGAGGAAGUAAAAGUCGUAACA
rnacentral:rRNA from 1 species